rnacentral:rRNA from 1 species
UACGGGGAGGGCAAGCGUUACCCGGAAUUACUGGGCUUAAAGGGGAGGUAGGCGGUUAGGCAAGUCCAGUGUGUAAUCCUGCGGCUCAACCGCAGGGCUGCGCUGGAUACUGCCUAACUAGAGGGCGCCAGAGGAGAGCGGAACUCCCGGUGUAGCGGUGAAAUGCGUAGAUAUCGGGGGGAACGACCAGUGGCGAAGGCGGCUCUCUGGGGCGGUCCCU